AGAAUCAACGCUGGCGGCGUGCCUAACACAUGCAAGUCGUACGCGAAAGUCCCGCAAGGGAUGAGUAGAGUGGCAAACGGGUGAGUAACACGUGGGUGACCUGCCUUCGAGUGGGGGAUAACGUCCCGAAAGGGACGCUAAUACCGCAUGACAUCCUGCUUUUAGAAAAGCGGAGAUUAAAGCCGGGAUCGCAAGACCUGGCGCUUGGAAGAGGGGCCCGCGCCUGAUUAGCUAGUUGGUAGGGUAAUGGCCUACCAAGGCUACGAUCA
rnacentral:rRNA from 1 species